GGACUACUGGGGUAUCUAAUCCUGUUUGCUACCCACGCUUUCGUGUUUCAGCGUCAGUGAUGGUCCAGAAAGCCGUCUACACCGCAGGUGUUCCUCCUGAUAUCUACGCAUUUCACCGCUACACCAGGAAUUCCACUUUCCCAUCCCAUACUCUAGCUCCCCAGUCUUCGGCGCACCCUCCCGGUUAAGCCGGGAGAUUUCACACCAAACUUAGAAAGCCGCCUACACACCCUUUACGCCCAGUAACUCCGAACAACGCUUGCUGCCUACGUAUUACCGCGGCUGCUGGCAC
rnacentral:rRNA from 1 species